rnacentral:misc_RNA from 1 species
GUGCGACUGAAAAAUAUUGAAUGUUGAGAAAGUGAUCGGAAAGCCAACAUGAGGAAGCGAGAUUUGGCUAUUCUUAUGCUCUCUGCUUUCGCUAUUUUUUUCUCUCUUCAGCAUGAGGGUGAUUUCUCGUUUAGAGAGGCAUGGUUUCAUCUAUCCGAUGAAUACCCAAUUAAAUACGAAGCUGAUCGUCUUCCACCACCUGUUGUUGCCGAUCUAAACGGUGACGGGAGGAAGGAAGUGCUUGUCGCUACUCAUGAUGCCAAAAUUCAGGUGUUGGACCCCCAUUCUAGGCGGGUGGACGAGGGGUUCAGUGAAGCGAGAGUGCUUGCGGAGGUCUCACUAUUGCCUGACAAAAUUCGUGUUGCAUCUGGUAGGAGGGCAGUGGCUAUGGCUGCUGGUGUUAUUGACAAAACUUAUAAGCAGGGCCAACCACUGAAGCAGGUGUUGGUGGUGGUUACUUCCGGGUGGUCUGUAAUGUGCUUUGAUCACAACCUAAAAAAGCUAUGGGAAACAAAUCUGCAGGAAGAUUUUCCACAUAAUGCUCACCACAGGGAGAUUGCAAUCUCGAUAAGUAAUUACACUGUGAAGCACGGGGAUACAGGGUUGGUUAUUGUUGGUGGGAGGAUGGAAAUGCAGCCACAUAUAUACUUGGAUCCUUUUGAAGAAAUUGGGGUAGCCGAGAGAAAUGCUGAGCAGCAUAGAAGAAGUGCUAACGAGAAGGAGGCUUCAGAGAACUCUGGAACCAUGAAUUUGCGCCAUUUUGCAUUUUAUGCAUUUGCUGGUCGAACUGGUACCCUUCGAUGGAGUAGAAAGAAUGAGAAUAUAGAGCCGCAAUCUUCAGAUGCAUCCCAACUAAUUCCCCAACAUAACUACAAGCUUGACGUCCAUGCUCUGAAUAGCCGUCAUCCUGGAGAGCAUGAAUGCAGGGAAUUUAGGGAGUCAAUUCUCGGAGUUAUGCCACAUCACUGGGAUAGGAGAGAAGAUACUUGGUUGAAGUUGACGCACUUCAGGCGUCACAAAAGAAAAGCUUUGAAAAAAGUUCCUGGAAAGACUACGAACUAUCCUUUUCACAAGCCUGAGGAAAAUCAUCCUCCUGGGAAGGACUCUACAAAAAAAAUUUCUAACAUCAUUGGAAAAGCUGCAAAUUAUGCUGGGUCAGCAAAAUCUAAGAAGCCAUUACCUUAUAUUCCAACCAUAACAAACUACACUCAGCUUUGGUGGGUUCCAAAUGUUGUUGUGGCUCAUCAAAAAGAAGGGAUAGAAGCUGUUCACUUGGCAUCAGGUCGUUCUAUUUGUAAGCUUCAUCUUCAAGAAGGUGGCCUUCAUGCUGAUAUUAAUGGGGAUGGCGUCCUAGACCAUGUCCAGGCUGUUGGGGGAAAUGGAGCUGAGCAGACUGUUGUUAGUGGAUCAAUGGAAGUUCUGCGAC